rnacentral:misc_RNA from 1 species
GAUGAAGAACGCAGCGAAAUGCGAUAAGUAGUGUGAAUUGCAGAAUUCAGUGAAUCAUCGAAUCUUUGAACGCACAUUGCGCCCCUUGGUAUCCCGAGGGGCAUGCCUGUUCGAGCGUCAUUUCACCACUCAAGCCUGGCUUGGUGUUGGGCGACGUCCUCUUUGGGGACGCGCCUCGAAACGCUCGGCGGCGUGGCACCGGCUUUAAGCGUAGCAGAAUCUUUCGCUUUGGAAGUCGGGGCCCCGUCUGCCGGAAGACCUGCUCGCAAGGUUGACCUCGGAUCAGGCAGGGAUACCCGCUGAACUUAAGCAUAUCAAUAAAGCGGAGGA